AGCGAACGCUGGCGGCAGGCUUAACACAUGCAAGUCGAGCGGGCCCUUCGGGGUCAGCGGCAGACGGGUGAGUAACGCGUGGGGACGUGCCCUUCGGUUUGGAAUAACCCUGGGAAACUAGGGCUAAUACCGGAUACGCCCUUAUGGGGAAAGGUUUACCGCCGAAGGAUCGGCCCGCGUCUGAUUAGCUUGUUGGUGAGGUAACGGCCCACCAAGGCGACGAUCAGUAGCUGGUCUGAGAGGAUGAUCAGCCACACUGGGACUGAGACACGGCCCAGACUACUACGGGAGGCAGCAGUGGGGAAUAUUGGACAAUGGGGGCAACCCUGAUCCAGCCAUGCCGCGUGAGUGAUGACGGCCUUAGGGUUGUAAAGCUCUUUUACCCGGGACGAUAAUGACGGUACCGGGUGAAUAAGCCCCGGCUAACUUCGUGCCAGCCGCCGCCGUAA
rnacentral:rRNA from 1 species